CUCCAACAGAUUUUUGUCAAACCAAAUGCAAUCAAGACCAUCUUAAAGUCUCUGAGGUUGUAUUCUUAGGAGGUUUAAAACCCUGUCUCUAACCCUAUCGCCACUUCUCUUUCAAGUGAGCAAACAUGCAAAGACAUUUCAAGCACCAUGGCAAUGUUGACUUGGAGCAUUGUUAAUUCCUACCAAAAGGCUGUGGGAAGCAUAGUAAAAUGAUAGAAGGUUUCAUUUAUUAAUCUGUGAUGAAAACCAGGCUUCUGUUGAUGGAGGGGGUGGGGGAAGGGUAAAGAUAGGCUUGUCUGUUUAAUGCUUGGCUCAGAUUUUAUUUUAUUUUAUUUUUUUAAACAAGCAGCUGAGCGCAUUGCUUCUGGCUGUGUCUUUCUGUAGGUUGGCGGUUGCCAGCAUUCACAAAGCACAAGUUAUGUAAUGCUCUCCUAUCAGGAGUCUGAGUUCAAAAACAUUUCAUGAAGUCUCAUGCUGUUCUUGCUGAAGUAAUUGUUUCUGAUAAUGAAAAGUCUGUAUCACCCUGAUUCAGCUGCCUCGGCCCUCUCCAAUGGCAGCACUUUGUGCUUUCCCUCAACCUCUUUCCUCCCUCCCUCCAUCACAAUAAUCUCUGCUCAUUUCUUAAGGAGACUAUUCUCUCCCCUAAAACCCUUCACUGGCUUUUGCCAGAGGAAAAGAAAAAUAAAGGAGGACACAUGUAGUUUUGCCCCUCCCUGUGCCUCUGAAACAGACAUUUUCAUUGGGAAAAUUCUCAUGUCUUUGAUCAGAACAGCUACAGAGAUGUACUGCUGCUGGACUUCUGCCUACAAAAAUCAAACAUACUUCACAGAUUCAGACAUGGUUCAUAAACUAUGUCAUCCCAAUCUAGAGCUCUCAAAAUGAAUAGAAAACAUGGCAAGUGUCAGCUUGCAGCUUCAUGCAAAAGCAUUGUGAAUGAAACAUGUAAGAGCAGCAGCUGGAGAAGCAAAGAAUAGAAAUUCUGAUUUGGAUGGCUUACAGUCAUUGAACAUCACAACAUAAGCAAAAUAAAAUAUUUACUGCUACAAGG
rnacentral:lncRNA from 1 species